GCCUUCGUGGUGUAGUGGUCAGCACGCUCGACGCGUAUUCGAGAGGUCCGUGGUUCGAGUCCCGGCUAGAGCA
rfam:Stegodyphus mimosarum contig62343, whole genome shotgun sequence.